GUUCAGGUAGCUCAGCUGGUUAGAGCAAAGGACUGAAAAUCCUUGUGUCAGUGGUUCGAAUCCACUUCUAGGCG
rnacentral:tRNA from 1 species